AGUCUGUGCUGUUCCACGUUCCCUCACAGCAGCUCCCCCCAGCUCCCUGGGCUACCCUGAGCUUUGGGUGAGGUCACUUGGUGCUCGGCAGUGUUCUCUGUUUGAGAUUUGAGGAUUUGCAGACAGACAAACUCCACAACCCAGCAAAGCGAGUGCCCACUGGUCCUGCUCUGUUUGUCAGCAAGAAUGAGCCGGCGGGAGCGGGAAUGUUUCCCAGACGGGGUGAGGAGGUCAGUCUGGACCUCUGGACAGCGGCAUGUGAAAGCAGGGGACCCUCUGGGGGCCUUGUUUGGGUAUGUGCAGCUCAGAUCACGGGAUUAGCUGCCAGGUCAUCUGCUGUGAAAUCCAUUAUGAGAAACGCUCGGUCACCGGCGCUGCACUUGAAAUUCUUCCUUGGUUAAACUGCAGGAAUCACCUUCCGAAGCUUUUGUGGGCUCCGUGUGCCCGUGUAAAAUAUUUGUACACGCGCGGAUAUAAACUAAUGUUUGCAGCAAUGCCUCAUGCAAAACGCUCCUCGAGUAAAUCUGUCACUGCAGCUUCAAUUCCAGAUUACUGCACUCCAAGAUCUGCUAUUAUCAGUGAAAACACAUCUUUAGAAAGUUCACAACAGUCUGAAGUAGAUGAGCUAUUGAAAUGCAAUAGAAAAUCUACCCCUCGCGGAUUAGUCAAACAAUGAAUGUAGCCCUGCACGUAAACAUUGUCUAACUGUAUUGGCAGGGUAAAUGGUUCCUGAUUUACUGCUGCAGGAAUAGGUGGCAUUUCCUCACACUGUGAAUACAAAUAUCAAUUAUCUUGAGGAGAAAUACAUUUCUAAUCCGUAAGUGUGGUCAAGAGAUGCAAAUAGUGGCAACAAAUCAGUCAAUUAUCAAAUUAUUAAACAUUUCUAAUAUUAUUAUUAAUUAUCUCUGGUAGCAGCAGUGUACGAUUUGCUGGGAAAUAAAUCGUUAGUAGAUCUUGGAGUACUUGAAAAAGUGGUUUUAAUCUGUGGACGUCCUGAAAAACCACAACCCCUGAGUCAGGGAGAUCAAAGAGGAAUGAGGAGUCUGGGGUUUUGGGUUUCAGAGAUAGCCUUUCAUGGUGGUGGUUGUUGCUGCCACGCUCUGUGUUUUCAUAGUGUGCAUUAGGGAUUUCUGCAGUAAUAGCCACACUUACCUUUGCAGCCAUUUGGAUGUAGCAGAAAAGUAUGAACUCCUGAAGGAGGAAAAGAUAAAAGAGGGGAGCAGAGUGAUGCAGGUAUUGCUCUCUCUGUCAGUAGCCAGCAGUUUCUGUUGUCUGCAAAAUAUUUCCAUGUCUUCCACAUGAUCUUCCUAAGGAGCACUCUCAGCCCAGUGUGUUUUGAUAGAAAUAAUUGAGGUACAAAGACAUGGAGAAAGGAAGAACUUAGAUUUGUGGCAGGUAGAAAGUUUUAGAUCAUUUUAGUCCAACCCAUUGGAAUCUUUGUCGAGUUGUUUUUUAAUAUCCUUCCAAAAAGACCCUUGGUACCAACUCAAAAUUUUUAUUGAGGGCUCAUGCCCUGGGUCGAAAGGGUUUCAUCCACCCUUGUACAAAUGGGUAAUUUUGAUGAGGGGCAUGGAUUUGGCAGGUUUUCUUCAAUGCUCUUAAGUGGCACACCUGCACUCAAGGCAGAUUUUUGCAGUGCCUCAUCUCAAAGCAGCUCCAGGCCUGACCAAAGGAAACUGGUAUCCAAAAAGACCAACAGACCAGUGAUGACGUGGCAGAAAAUGCCCUUUCUGGGCAGGUGAUGAUGGUCCAGCCCCAGCACAGGCAGAUUGUGCAAGUCAUGGAUGAGAGUGUCACCACUGUACAUUUCUAUUUGCAUAAAACAAUUAUCCCAUGGACAGUGGCUCUGGAGUUGUCUAGACAACAUGCUUCUGAUGGUAUCACUGACCUCAGACACACUGGGCUGGCUCUAAAUUAGCAAUGAGCAGGGCUGGAGGGAUGUAUUAUGGCAGUUAUAAACCAUAAGAAGGUAUUUAAAUAGAUAGAUAAGACACAUGCAAAUCUUUCCAUUGCCAUGACAACCAUCUUGAUAUAGGUUUUCCAUACGUAGCAAGAACGGCAGAGCAAAAGGCACUGGAAAAAUAGCAAGAACCUGUAAUGAUAAUGAACCCUGACAGUGUAUUAGUCUAGAUUUUGGUCACUUAUUAACUCUUAAUAGAAUACAAACUUCUAUAGUAAUACAGUGUUCAGUGGGUCAGGGAGCAAUUACUUCUAAACCUUUGCUAUAAGGAUCUCUGCUAUAUGGCUAUACCUAAUGUACCAAUUCUUCACAAAUUGAUCUGACUGAUUAAAAAACACUUUGCUAUU